rnacentral:lncRNA from 1 species
AUGGGAGAUAAUAAGGCCAUUUAUAUGGGUGUCAGUGGACAGGAAGCACGACCAUAUCUGGACUCUGAAGGGCAGACAAUCAAGUCUUCAGAAGAAAAUGUUGGAAGGAGAAUGAAAGUGGUCCACCAGGAGACUCGCAGAGGGGAGGGGUGCGUUGCGCAAAAGUACACAGCUUGCAAACAGGUAACCUCUAAAAGAGCAUUUUUGCUUUAUCUAUGCUCAUUUCCCUCUGCUAUGAUUUAAUUUCCCUGCUUUUAAACAUGACGAAUUACUGCUCUUGUCUUCACUUAAUGCUUUUAACAGAUCCCAAUAAACUGCAUUAAUCGGCCGCGCGGCUGACCCGAACCUGCAAGCUGGAGCUGCUCAUUUGCCCUAUUAGUGAAGAGACUUGAGCCCAUAACCAGGUGGAUAAUCUCCUGGCUUUACUGCUUUAAUUAUGCCAUAAUCAGUGCAGCGGUUGGCCCCGUUUAAAAGCAGCCAGGAGAGACACCUAUCUGAUACCUCGUCUCUCGCCGCUAGCCCAUAUUCUCUAUGUCACAGCCAAGCUCCUCUUUGACGAACCAUGAUGAAGGGCGCACUAACUUUGUAGGAAAAGACAAAGCUUAAACAUAUGGCCAGAAUCCCCCAGGUGCCAUCUUCAAGAGGGCCAGUCUGUGAUCCUUCCACAGCUCAAUGCUGUUUCCUGACUCCAACUCUUUCCUCUUGAACAUCUACCAUUGCUGGAUCUCUGAUUCAUGACCAAUUUUUUGCAAUAUAAUUGCAUUUGUUGGUCUUGCAUCAAUUUCCAGAACCGUCAUAUGGUAAAAGAUAUAUGACAGGAUAACAAGCUGUGCAUUCUGUGAAGGUUUUAAUGGCUUAAUGAGAAUAUAGAGUCUCAUCAGUGAGCCGUGUGCUCAACAUGGCAGCAUUUCAUUUCAAUUCUGUGUAAGGUUUUAAUGGCUUAUGAGAAUAUAGAGUCUCAUCAGUGAGCCGUGUGCUCAACAUGGCAACAUUUCAUUUCAAUAUUUACAUGUUUGUUUCCUCAGUUUUAUCUUGUUAAAUGCUUCAGUAAAAUGUUUUAGGCCAAGAAAUAAAUAUCUGCUAUUUAACUUCAUUAUUAUAAAUCAAAUGAGCACUUUCCAGUGCGUUAAUGAAGACAAAGUGAAAUAUGGAUGUUUUUCUCAUUGCAUUCGAGACCAAUUAAGUGGCCCAUUUAAAGCUAAUUAGCCACUAAACUUCAAUUUGUGUCAAUCUAUUCACUCUUUUUGAAUUUCUCUGCAGUCAUACAUUAGUUUCUACAGCAAAUCCAAUCAACAACAGACAUCUGUUUCAAAAAUAUUCACAAAUGUUAUACUUCUCAUAAAUAGAAAGCACAUUCAGAACAAGCUAAUAGUCUUAACGCCAAAACUGUGCUGACAGUCUUCCCAUCAAAGUGCAUUUCUAGUCCUUGAGGAUUGCAUUUACAGGUACCUCAACAAUUGUCACUUCCUUUUAGCACCGUUCCUGUUAUAAAAGCUGAAAAAGAUAUUAUUUGAUAUUAAGAGCGAUGUCAACCCUGACAUGCACUUUCAAAGUCAUCCAAAUAAUUCAAAUAAUAUUUUAGUUAAACUGACAGUUGUAAUUUGAGCAGUCAAUAGGCAAUAUGGUAAACGGCUCUCACUGGAAUCUCUUUUAACAGUUCAGUAACCUGUUUAGACAGAUGUGACAGCCACAGAUAUCUGCAACCCGGUUCAAUUUCACCACUUGACAUUUUCACAAUAGGUGCUGGAAAUAGCACAGAGCCAUCCAAGAUUAAAACAAGCAUACUAAUGCAUGCUUAUUCAAGUGUUUGAUGUAGCUGCGCAGUUGUAGCAUGUGCCUUUAGACACGCAAAACACUCCUACGGUUUUACAGUCAAGCCUUUUUUCCUCUCUUGGCAGUCAGUGGUAAAGAGUCAUAUGGUAAUUCUUCUGGAUGAGUUUUUGAUGGCAUGCCAGCAGUUUUCUUUUCCGCUGAGUAAUUUUCCCAGCUUUCCCUCAAUAAAGUGUAAUCCUCCUUUCGUCUGUCUUGCUGCGAGCUUAACACUGCCAGAGAGAAAGCAAGAGGGAUGUGCACAAUAUUUUGACAUUUAUAAAUGGCAUGAAUUGGAGAAGAGAUGUCUAGUUAAGUGAAGC